rnacentral:rRNA from 1 species
UAGUCCACGCCGUAAACGAUGUCUACUAGCCGUUGGGAGACUUGAUUUCUUAGUGGCGCAGCUAACGCACUAAGUAGACCGCCUGGGGAGUACGGCCGCAAGGUUAAAACUCAAAUGAAUUGACGGGGGCCCGCACAAGCGGUGGAGCAUGCGGUUUAAUUCGAAGCAACACGAAGAACCUUACCAGCUUUUGACAUGAGAAUUAGGGGUUUUAGAGAUAAAGCCCGUCGGUUCGGCCGGAUUCUACACAGGUGCUGCAUGGCUGUCGUCAGCUCGUGUCGUGAGAUGUUGGGUUAAGUCCCGCAACGAGCGCAACCCUCAUCCUUAGUUGCCAUCAGGUUUGGCUGGGGACUCUAAGGAAACUGCCGGUGAUAAGCCGGAGGAAGGUGAGGAUGACGUCAGGUCCUCAUGGCCCUUACGGGCUGGGCUACACGCGUGCUACAAUGGCGGCUACAAUGGGAUGCAAUAGGGUGACCUGGAGCUAAUCCUCAAAGGCCGUCUCAGUUCGGAUUGUU